UUAAAGGAUUCAAAACGUUAGUCAUGUGGGGAGAUGGAAAAACAAAGGGAAACGGCAAUUCGAGGAAAUUUCCUGCAGAGAUAAUAGAGGUUUCAGAUAGUAAAGAUUAUUUACUCAAGACAAUGAGAAAAGAAGAAACUUUCUCUAUAAAUACUGGCAAAGGGUGUC